rnacentral:lncRNA from 1 species
UUUUGUCUAAAAGCUUUUCCCCUCCUCUCACCUCACUGGUACAAAGUCAGGGCACAUUGCACUGGCUCAGUCAAGCCACAUAAUAGUUUUCUAGUUUGAUGACUUUUUUGCCAAUGCCUUUAGCUCAAACAUGUUUCUCUUCUCAUUUCCCUUACAGGUCUUAAAAUUAUGGAUGCCAUGAUUGCUACGCAUGAUGAGCUUGGUAAUCCUGAACUUGAAGGGGAUGAUGAAGACCAAGAAACUACACCUCCGGGUGGAAUAGCUUUGACAAUCUUCCAAAGUCUGUUAAAGGCUUGUUUUCACCUUGCUUACAAGGAUGUUGAAUUUGGCAUCAAAAUGAAAGCGCUAUCAGCUUUGAAGAAAUGGAUGUCUGAGUAUCCUGAAAUGAUCCUCCAACCUCUUUACUUUCGCUACAUUUCAUGGAGUGCUGCCUCAAAAACGAAAAGGAUCAGAAUUCUAUGUCUAGAGAUGUCAAAGACGAUCUUUGAGAGGUCAGAGUCUGAAGAUAUCCAAGCUUUUGCUGAAAGAGAAAUUCCAGUCCUCAAUUGGCAGCUUACAGUUGAGAGCCCUGAUGAAAUUUGUUUAGCUACAGAAUGUUUGAUUCUCAUUUUCAAGUAA